rnacentral:SRP_RNA from 1 species
GCCGGGCGCGGUGGCAUGUGCCUGUAGUUCCAGCUACUCUGGAGGCUGAGGCUGGAGGAUCUCUUGAGCCCAGGACUUCUGGGCUGUAGUGCGCUGUGCCGAUCAGGUGUCUAUGCUAAGUUCGGCAUCAAUAUGGUGACCUCCCAGGAGCAGGGGACCACCAGGUUGCCUAAGGAGGGGUGAACCGGCCCAGGUCGGAAACAGAGCAGGUUAAAACUCCCAUGCUGAUCAGUAGUGGGAUCGCGCCUGUGAACAGCCAUUGCACUCCAGCCUGGGCAACAUAGCAAGACUCUGUCUCU